UUAUGGUAUUGAAUCGGUCGGGUGGGAGAGAUGCCAAUCUGGUUGUGGAGUCGAGGCUCACUCCUAUAAACUCCAGGUGCUGGGUAGGACUUAAUGUGGAUUUGCUUUCAUUUAUUUGCAGGCCCAGGGAUUGGAAGCACUCGAUGGUGAUUUGUGUGAAGCGGAGGGCCACAUCGAACGUGGAGGCCUUCAGGAGGCAAUCGUCGAGGGGUUUGGAUGCCUAAAGAUCGAAGAGUUGCCCUUGAGUCCUUCAUUGAGUGGAGCACCUCAUUAGUGGUGGAAGCAAAGAGUUUAUCACCAUCAAAAGGGAGAUCCUCUAUGGUGCUCUGAACCUCACGAGGAAAGAGGGAAGAGGAGAGCCAUGAACCUCGGUGCAUGACCACCGCCAUAGCAGUGGAUCUUGCUGCAGUAUUGGCUGAAUCCAGAGCUGCUUGAAGAGCCAUGCGUAAUAUGAUUUGGCCCUUGGAAACUAAAGCUGUAAACUGUUGUUUCUUGUAGUCUGGAAUGUGUUCAAUAAAGUCCAUGAACUUGU